UUUAUAUCUGACUAGAAAAUGUUGUAUAUUAAAUAAAAGGUAUUGGCUACUAUUUUAAGUUUCUGUGUAACCAUGAGAGGCUUUUUAAUUUCCCAUGUUCUAGAGGUAGAUAUCUGUGGAGAGAUAGAAGCCUGAUGUAUAUUACCAAGGAUAAUGAUACAUGUUAUAUGCCAAGCUUCCUAUGCAUCCUCUGUACACCUUACAAAGUAUCUCUGUUCUUUUAGAGUCUGGACAUUGCAUCCAUGGAUCUAUUGUUAAUCUCCUAAUAGUUUCCUUUAGACUCAGAGCAAUAUGGAGACUAAGGAAUAUCAGCUAACUCAAAUCUGUGAUUUACAAUGAUGGAUUUUAACAUGUCCUAGAAGUCUAUACACAGCAAAGGGCAUCAUCUGCUCCUUGUAGAAAUGAGAACAUGACCAUUUCAGCAGCUAACCUGCAUUUCGAGGUAUCUGGGCAUGAAGCCAGCAGCUCUAGAGAAUUAGACUAGAAUGAAAUACUCUUGUGUUCAUGUCCAGGAAGAUAUUUUUCAGUGCCCUCAGGAAUCAAAGGCGAGAAUAAAGCUGAUUUUUUUUUAAUAACUGGCUAACA
rnacentral:lncRNA from 12 species